rnacentral:lncRNA from 1 species
UUUAAAAUUUGAAAUUUGAAAUUUGAAAUUUAAAAUCAAAAUUAAAAUUGAAUUUUAAAAUUUUAAAUUUUGAAAUUUAAAAUUUUAUGUUGAAAUUUAAAAUUUAAAAAUUGAUACAUUUUUGGGAGCCCAAAAUGGUGGAAUUUUUUUCCUUUGGUGAAAGUGGUUUGUCAGUUACUUCAUUUUUUAGAAUAUGGUAUAACUAUAUACUCUAAAAAUUACAUUAUUUUUUUUUUUUUCCAAACGCUUCAUAGGAUUAUUUUCCUAUCGGUGUAGUAUAGUUUAACUAUACUACGUUUUUAGAGGUAUCCAAACUGGCCUAAU